rnacentral:rRNA from 1 species
GACGAACGCUGGCGGCGUGCUUAACACAUGCAAGUCGAGCGAUGAACCUUUCAUGAAUUUUUCGGAAUGAUUGGAAGAGGAUUAGCGGCGGACGGGUGAGUAACGCAUGAGCAACCUGCCUUAAACAACGGGAUAGCCUCGGGAAACCGGGAUUAAUACCGUAUGAGACCCCGCCUUCACAUGAAGAAGAGGUUAAAGAUUUAUCGGUUUAAGAUGGGCUCGCGUCUGAUUAGCUAGUUGGUGAGAUAAAAGCCCACCAAGGCAACGAUCAGUAACCGGCUUGAGAGAGUGAACGGUCACAUUGGAACUGAGACACGGUCCAAACUCCUACGGGAGGCAGCAGUGGGGAAUAUUGCACAAUGGGGGAAACCCUGAUGCAGCGACGCCGCGUGAGCGAUGAAGGAAUUCGUUUCGUAAAGCUCUGUCCAAGGGGAAGAUAAUGACAGUACCCUUGGAGGAAGCCCCGGCUAAAUACGUGCCAGCCGCCGCAUAA